GAUGAACGCUGGCGGCGUGCCUAAUACAUGCCAGUCGAGCGAACGGACGAGAAGCUUGCUUCUCUGAUGUUAGCGGCGGACGGGUGAGUAACACGUGGAUAACCUACCUAUAAGACUGGGAUAACUUCGGGAAACCGGAGCUAAUACCGGAUAAUAUUUUGAACCGCAUGGUUCAAAAGUGAAAGACGGUCUUGCUGUCACUUAUAGAUGGAUCCGCUGUAUUAGCUAGAUGGGAAGGUAACGGCUUACCAAGGCAACGAUGCAUAGCCGACCGGAGAGGGUGAUCGGCCACACUGGAACUGAGACACGGUCCAGACUCCUACGGGAGGCAGCAGUAGGGAAUCUUCCGCAAUGGGCGAAAGCCUGACGGAGCAACGCCGCGUGAGUGAUGAAGGUCUUCGGAUCGUAAAACUCUGUUAUUAGGGAAGAACAUAUGUGUAAGUAACUGUGCACAUCUUGACGGUACCUAAUCAGAAAGCCACGGCUAACUACGUG
rnacentral:rRNA from 1 species